GGAGUUGUAGCUCAGUGGUAGAGUGCUUGCUUUGUAUGCAUGAGGCACUGGGUUUGAUUCCUAGAACCA
rnacentral:tRNA from 1 species